GUAGCUUCCUUGUCGUGUGGCCUCAGUCCUUCGCCGUCCCUCGCCGUCCUUCGCCAUCGCACGCCACCGCACCCCAUCUCUCGAAAUCUGCAGACAUCUUGAUUUUUCCCACGCUGUCUGUCAGGUCUCCGCCGCCACUCGACGCCAGGGCGCCGGGCCUUGUGGGCUGUGCUGCACCUCGGACGGCUUCGCACCAGCCAGCGCCCUCUCUCUCCUGCAGCACUCUGAUCUGCACCCCCUGAGGGGCUUCCACUGUCCGCGGGGUGAGAAUGCCCCUGGGAGUGUCACAUGACUGCCGCCCCAUGUGUGUGAGAGGCGUCCUCUGGGAGAGCAUGGAUCCUGAGGUCCCAGGAUUGUCAGCUGACCUCUGUCCUGUGUGCCCAGUGGCCCCAGGUGACGUGUCUUCAAGAAGAGGCUGAGCUGCGGUGCUUGUAAGGCAGGGUCUCAUUCUGUCACCCAGGCUGGAGUGCAGUGGUGCAAUGAUGGCUCACUGCAGCCUCGACCUGGGCUCAAGUGAUCCUCCACCUCAGCUUCCUGAGUAGCUGGGACCACAGAGUCAUGUGCUGUUCCUGGGGCUUGGAUGAUGUAGGGGAAGCAAGGUGAAAGUGGUAUCCCGUGGUUCCACGUUCUGUCCUGCUGUGGGGCUGUCCCUCACAUGCUUUCAGUGGCUGUUGCAGAGGAAGAGCCUCCGGAAAUCUGCGUGGGUAAAGUCUCAGCCUUAGAUCCAAGGACAGUCCAAGGAAGUCCUAAGACCAUGGAGUUGGUGAUCUGGGAUCUGGGUUUGCUGAUAUUUCUCACCGUGAAUCUCUUGGUGGUGUUUGUGGGCACGAGAGGGGCAGAGAAUGGAGAGUGAGGCUACCACAUGAAGCGUCACCAGAGCUGCUCCCUGCUGCCUGCUCAGAGCACCCCGGAUCCACUGUUCAAUCUGCACAAGAUUCGGGGUCCAGACAUGGGAGACUUCAGCUGCCUCAGAGGACCGUGGACAGGGAAGGCCAGCCUCGCAUCCCUCUGUCCAUGCCUGGAAUGACUUUAAUAACCAAGAGUUUUAUUUUUGAAUUUGUAGCUGUCGUUCACUUUUUACCCACCCAUUCAAUAAACCUUACAGAAUUGC
rnacentral:lncRNA from 1 species